GCCGGUGUGGCUCAGUGAUAGAGCCUUGGUCCUCACAGGUUGUGGGUUCAAUUCCCAGUCAAAGGCA
rnacentral:tRNA from 1 species